GACGAACGCUGGCGGCGUGCUUAACACAUGCAAGUCGAACGGGAUCCAUGGAGUAGCAAUACUCUGGAAGAUCUAGUGGCGAACGGGUGAGUAACACGUGAGCGACCUGCCCCAAAGACUGGGAUAACCCCGGGAACCGGAGCUAAUACCGGAUGUCCUCAUUAGAUCGCAUGGUCAUAUGAGGAAAUGAAUUUUCGCCUUGGGAGGGGCUCGCGGGCUAUCAGUUUGNGGUGGGGUAAUGCCUACCAAGACAUCGACGGCUAGCUGGUCUGAGAGGACGAUCAGCCACACUGGGACUGAGACACGGCCCAGACUCCUACGGGAGGCAGCAGUGGGGAAUCUUGCCCAAUGGGCGAAAAGCCUGAGGCAGCAACGCCGCGUGCGGGGAUGACGGGCCUU
rnacentral:rRNA from 1 species